rnacentral:sRNA from 1 species
AUCUUGCCACACUCAGGUUGCCUACAUAUACUUAUAACUGUAAUAAAUUGUAGCGUUUUGACUUGGUCAUACAUCAGUGAAGGUCCAGUUGGGAUAACCACCCCGAUGUUCAACACCACCACGGUUCCUAAGUUCCAGGACCACAGCCCUGAAGGAUUCCACGGUGAGGAUACUGGAGAGAAGUGAAGUCUACUCCGUGACAUCGGCGAUGAUUUGAAAUAAAAGCAGAUAUCCGAUCGAGAUAAGUGAUCGCGUGACUUGGAACACGAGUGAUAUGAUAGAUAUUAAGUGAUUGAUAUGUGAACAGUUGAAAAUAAGUUUUGGAGUGGCAACCAUGUUUAGAACUUAAAGAAAACUAUUAUAUACCGGUUCGUCUGUCUGUCAAAAAAGGGUUUUUUUAUAUUCAUAGAUAGUAUUUUUUUUUAUAUAAGUUUGUUAAAGUAGGGUUAUUAAUUACUGCAAAUUGAAUGAGUAUGGGGUGUGAGCGAGUAUGGGUGUGAAAGUGUUAUUGUAAAUAUAUUUCAUUUGUUCUUUUGUUAAUAAAUUUAUAAACCUG